GGAUUAGAUACCCUGGUAGUCCACGCCGUAAACGAUGUGCACUAGCUCGAUGCAGAUCUGACUCUGUGUCGGGCGCCGAGAAAUCAUUAAGUGCACCGCCUGGGGAGUACGGUCGCAAGGCUAAAACUCAAAGGAAUUGACGGGGGCUCACACAAGCGGUGGAGCAUGUUGCUUAAUUCGAAGCAACGCGAAGAACCUUACCUGGGUUUGACAUGCACGGAUUAGUCAUUGGAAACAGUGAUGACGCUCUUCGAGUGGAACGUGCACAGGUGCUGCAUGGCUGUCGUCAGCUCGUGCCG
rnacentral:rRNA from 1 species